rnacentral:rRNA from 1 species
GACGAACGCUGGCGGCGUGCUUAACACAUGCAAGUCGAACGGAAAGGCCCUGCUUUUGUGGGGUGCUCGAGUGGCGAACGGGUGAGUAACACGUGAGUAACCUGCCCUUGACUUUGGGAUAACUUCAGGAAACUGGGGCUAAUACCGGAUAGGAGCUCCUGCUGCAUGGUGGGGGUUGGAAAGUUUCGGCGGUUGGGGAUGGACUCGCGGCUUAUCAGCUUGUUGGUGGGGUAGUGGCUUACCCAGGCUUUGACGGGUAGCCGGCCUGAGAGGGUGACCGGCCACAUUGGGACUGAGAUACGGCGCAGACUCCUACGGGAGGCAGAAGUGGGGAAUAUUGCACAAUGGGCGGAAGCCUGAUGCAGCGACGCCGCGUGCGGGAUGACGGCCUUCGGGUUGUAAACCGCUUUCGCCUGUGACGAAGCGUGAGUGACGGUAAUGGGUAAAGAAGCACCGGCUAACUACGUG